rnacentral:rRNA from 1 species
GAAAGUAAGCAAGGGCAGACGGUGGAUGCCUUGGCUCUCGGAGGCGACGAAGGACGUGAUAAGCUGCGAAAAGCCCGGGGGAGGCGCAAAUAGCCCUUGAUCCCGGGAUAUCCGAAUGGGGCAACCCGGCAGGCUGAAGGCCUGCCAUCCCGUAAGGGAGGCGAACGUGGGGAACUGAAACAUCUAAGUACCCAUAGGAGGAGAAAAUAAACAAUGAUUCCGUAAGUAGUGGCGAGCGAACACGGAAGAGCCCAAACCCAUGUCGUCUAGGCGACACGGGGGUUGUAGGACCACGACGUGGCAAGAUAGAGUCAAGUGGAACGCCUUGGAAAAGGCGGUCAUAGAGGGUGAAAACCCCGUACACGACUGACGAUUGAAGCCUAGUGGCAUCCUGAGUAGCGCGGGGCACGAGAAAUCUUGCGUGAAUUAGCGGGGCCCAUCCCGUAAGGCUAAAUACUCCCGAGAGACCGAUAGCGAACCAGUACCGUGAGGGAAAGGUGAAAAGAACCCCGAGCAGGGGAGUGAAAUAGACCCUGAACCCGUCUGCCUACAAGCGGUCGGAGCGUCGUAAUGACGUGACGGCGUGCCUUUUGCAUAAUGAACCUACGAGUUACCUUCCCCGGCAAGGUUAAGUACCUAAGGUACGGAGCCGAAGCGAAAGCGAGUCUGAACAGGGCGCCAAGUCGGGGGGGGUAGACGCGAAACCGAGUGAUCUACCCUUGGCCAGGUUGAAGGUUGGGUAACACCAACUGGAGGACCGGAUGGGUAAGCGUUGAAAAGCUUUCCAAUGAGCUGAGGGUAGGGGUGAAAGGCUAAUCAAACUCGGAGAUAGCUCGUACUCCCCGAAAUGCAUUUAGGUGCAGCCUCUUUAUAGUAUAUCGUGAGGUAGAGCGACUGAUUGGAUGCGAGGGCUUCACCGCCUAUCAAGUCCAGAUAAACUCCGAAUGCGCGAUAUAUAUUUACAGGGAGUGAGGGCGCGGGUGCUAAGGUCCGUGUCCGAGAGGAGAAGAAUCCAGACCACCGGCUAAGGCCCCCAAAUGAUCGUUAAGUUGAACUAACGAGGUCGGAUCGCAGAGACAGCUAGGAUGUUGGCUUGGAAGCAGCCAUUCAUUUAAAGAGUGCGUAACAGCUCACUAGUCGAGCGAUCUGGCGUGGAUAAUAAUCGGGCAUAAACGAUCUGCCGAAGCCGUGGAUGUCGCAAGACAUGGUAGGGGAGCAUUCCAUGCGGCGUCGAAGAUGAGGGAUGACCCUUGUUGGAGCGCAUGGAAAAGCAAAUGUAGGUAUGAGUAACGAUAAGGGGGGCGAGAAACCCCCCCGCCGAAAGACCAAGGUUUCCUGAUCAACGCUAAUCGGAUCAGGGUGAGUCGGGACCUAAGGCAAAGCCGAACGGCGCCGCCGAUGGAAGAAUGGGUUAAUAUUCCCAUACUGCCUCAUGGAGUGACGUGGAGACGGAGAAGUGACAGUCCUGCCGGCUGACGGAAUAGCCGGUUGAAGGGUGUAGAUAUUGAUUCCCGUAGGCAAAUCCGCGGGGAGAGUCGAACCUGAGAGUAUACGGAGCGCUUGCGCAACGUAAUAUGGACGUAACCAUGCUCCCGAGAAAAUCCGCUAAACUUAUCCAUGCGGCACCCGUACCGUAAACGGACACACGUGGUCGGGUUGAGAAUACUGAGGCGCUCGAGUGAUUCACGGUUAAGGAACUAGGCAAAUUGACCCUGUAACUUCGGGAUAAAGGGUCCUCGUCGUAAGGCGAGGCGCAGAGAAUAGGUCCAGGCAACUGUUUAACAAAAACACAUGGCUGUGCUAAAUGGAAACAUGAUGUAUACAGCCUGACACCUGCCCGGUGCCGGAAGGUUAAGAGGAGAUGUCAUCCGCGAGGAGAAGCGUUGAAUUGAAGCCCCGGUAAACGGCGGCCGUAACUAUAACGGUCCUAAGGUAGCGAAAUUCCUUGUCGGGUAAGUUCCGACCUGCACGAAUGGUGUAAUGAUCUGGACGCUGUCUCAACCGUGAGCUCAGUGAAAUUGUAGUAUCGGUGAAGAUGCCGAUUACCCGCGAUGGGACGAAAAGACCCCGUGAACCUUUACUAUAGCUUUACAUUGAGUUUGGGCAGACGAUGUGUAGGAUAGGCCGGAGGCAUUGAAGCAGGUACGCCAGUAUUUGUGGAGCCGACGUUGAAAUACGGCCCUUCGGUUGUUUGAGUUCUAACUCCUAGUUAGGAGGACACUGUAUGGUGGGUAGUUUGACUGGGGUGGUCGCCUCCAAAAGCGUAACGGAGGCUUCUAAAGGUGCCCUCAGACCGAUUGGUAACCGGUCGCAGAGUGUAAUGGCAUAAGGGCGCUUGACUGGGAGACAUACAAGUCGAUCAGGUAG